CCCGUGCAUCAGAAUCCGCUGAAAUGGGUAGAGUAAACUCCUCUUCUUUAUGCUCCAUGUUCUAUCAUGUGCUUCUCCCUCUCACUUUUACUCUCUGCCUUAAUUUUUCCGGUGGAUGAAAAUAGUAGCAGAGAUAGACGGGAAUCCUCCAGAAUGAGUAAGGAUAGAUGAUAGUGGAGCUGUAAGAUGCCGCAGCUAAAAAACUAGAGGAUAAAAUCAACUAAGAAACGGGACGUUAAUUGUGGGCAUCUCCCAAGUUUGCUGAUGUCACAAAGAAAUCUUUCCAGUGAACUAGCCUGGGCACAAAAUCUUUCCAGUGAAAUCUUUCUCCCACUCAAACUAAGAGAUGGGAAGAAAAUUUCUUUCUUUUUUCGCAUAAAUCUUACCCUGGCUUGGACUGGGCUUGAGGAAAAUUGGGCUUUAAUUUACUAAUAAGCCGAUUUUUUUCGGCUAGGGGUGGCUUCAGCCAGUCCUAAUCCGGGCAUAGUUUUGCCCCUGUGUGGGGGUUCUCUUACUACUUACAGCUCAACUGUGUUUGAACCAGCUUACCAGCAACUAUUACACUGUUUUGACGAUGAUUCUGGCGCAUGAAUCUGAUGCACCUCUGCUAAUAUGUCUCAUUAGGUGAAAAGAAAUAUUUGUGUUUCAUAUUGAUAACUUAAACUAUCUAGUGUCUCAUUAGGUGAAUUUAAUGUUAUUGCAACAAAUUGUAAAAUUCUAGGGCUCUUGUUAUCAUUGAAAUUUAACUUUUAAGUAAUUUGGACUUUCUGUUUUGUAUAUAACAUAUGUUUCCAAGUGUUGGGUUGUUGUUUUAAGAUCAGAUUCUUUGUUGAAUGUUUAUUUGAUGGUCAAUUAACGUUAAUUAGGUGUUGUUUCCUCUGGAGGUAAACUAGUUAAUGUGAUAUUUUCGUCGAGUGGGACGAUAAAAGAUCCCUCAAGCAAUGAUCCUCAAUAUGUAGGCUCAAUUGUUAACAAGAUGCAGAUGGUUUCCACUAGUAUGCCUGUGGGGGACUUUAUCAGAGCUGUGCACGUUUCUUUCAACCUCGACCCUCGGAAGCGUUACAAAGUAUACUCCAGGGUUUACGUCACCCAUUGGGUGUCUGUUUUUGUUGAUAUAUCCUAUUCUUCGACCCUUGCUGACCUUGUGGUGAAUGAUCCAAAUGGAUUAAACAGUGUGUUUCGCUACUGCACAGAAGAGAUUGUUGGAGAUGAAGGUCCACCUACAUCUGAUGGUAACAUAACGACAAAUGGGAGCCGAUGCUAAGUAUUAGAUGUUUUAGUUUGAGGUUGAUGUGUCUAAUCAAAACAGCCAAGAGCAAUUUGUUUUUGCUGGACCCUCCAAAUCUUCUGAGACGAUUGUCAAGUAUGCAACUUUCUUACAAUCUUCCGAAACCAUUGUCAAGUAUGGAACUUACUUCCAUUUUACAACUACGUGCUAGUCUGUUUUCAACCUUCCGGGUAAGUAACUUGUUUCCGUUUUUCAGAAUGGUGCAUCCUAUGCAGAGAUGGUAAAUUAUUGAAACUUUUCUCUGUGAUCGCAAGUUUCUGAAAUUAAGCUCUACAUAUUAAGGGCAUAUGCUAUCUAUUUAUCAGUUCACUUGUGGCUUGAUUUUUUUCUCAUUAUCUUGCUGACAAUCUCACUUGAACAGUUGAAUGUAAUUCUGUAGCUCGAAAUUUUACUAUAUCUUCAAUCUAUGUCUGCACGAGCUGCUUUAAAACAAACUCAGGCACUGGGUGUCAUGAAGCAGGAGCAACCUGUACGAGUGGAGCAUCUCCUAGUUCCUGAUCUGGAAGGGUACCCGAGGUAUGAUGCUGUAUAUUUAGUGACAUCAGGAAUCUAGAAACAUUAAUAAUGUUGGGGACUGCCAAAUAGGAUUUAUUUGAAAGACGGGAAUUGAAGGAAAACCAUUUUCAUACGUUAAUGUGUAUGUUCAGAGUUUGAAGAUGACCAUGAUGGCAAUCAAAUAUUGUAGAAAUUGAAGUUUUGGCUGGCUAGACUGGUGAUUAUGUUUAUCACUAACUCUGUCAACAAUCUCUGUAAACAAUCAAUUUUGGAUUCUCUGUUAGCCUUUGUUUCUUCUUUUUCUUGUCGAUGUCGUCUAUGAUAUUGUUUGGACUCGUAUGAGAUUGAACUUUUACAAUA